GUGCGCACUUUGGCAGCACAUAUGCUAAAAUUGGAACAAUGCAGAGGAGAUUAGCAUGGCCCCUGCGCAAGGAUGACACACAAAUUCAUGAAGUGUUCCGUGUUUUU
ensembl:snRNA U6 U6 spliceosomal RNA